AACAGGAUUAGAUACCCUGGUAGUCCACGCCGUAAACGAUGUCGACUUGGAGGUUGUGCCCUUGAGGCGUGGCUUCCGGAGCUAACGCGUUAAGUCGACCGCCUGGGGAGUACGGCCGCAAGGUUAAAACUCAAAUGAAUUGACGGGGGCCCGCACAAGCGGUGGAGCAUGUGGUUUAAUUCGAUGCAACGCGAAGAACCUUACCUACUCUUGACAUCCAGAGAACUUUCCAGAGAUGGAUUGGUGCCUUCGGGAACUCUGAGACAGGUGCUGCAUGGCUGUCGUCAGCUCGUGUUGUGAAAUGUUGGGUUAAGUCCCGCAACGAGCGCAACCCUUAUCCUUUGUUGCCAGCGGUUAGGCCGGGAACUCAAAGGAGACUGCCAGUGAUAACCUGGAGGAAGGUGGGGAUGACGUCAAGUCAUCAUGGCCCUUACGAGUAGGGCUACACACGUGCUACAAUGGCGCAUACAAAGAGAAGCGACCUCGCGAGAGCAAGCGGACCUCAUAAAGUGCGUCGUAGUCCGGAUUGGAGUCUGCAACUCGACUCCAUGAAGUCGGAAUCGCUAGUAAUCGUAGAUCAGAAUGCUACGGUGAAUACGUUCCCGGGCCUUGUACACACCGCCCGUCACACCAUGGGAGUGGGUUGCAAAAGAGGUAGGUAGCUUAACCUUCGGGAGGGCGCUUACCACUUUGUGAUUCAUGACUGGGGUGAAGUCGUAACAAGGUAACC
rnacentral:rRNA from 1 species